ACGCUAGCUAUAGGCUUAACACAUGCAAGUCGAGGGGAAACGGCAUUAUGUGCUUGCACAUUUUGGACGUCGACCGGCGCACGGGUGAGUAUCGCGUAUCCAACCUGCCCUUUACUUGGGGAUACCCCGUUGAAAGACGGCCUAAUACCCGAUGUAAUUCAUUGAUGGCAUCAGAUAUGAAUAAAAGAUUUAUCGGUAAAGGAUGGGGAUGCGUCUGAUUAGCUUGUUGGUGAGGUAACGGCUCACCAAGGCAACGAUCAGUAGGGGUUCUGAGAGGAAGGUCCCCCACAUUGGAACUGAGACACGGUCCAAACUCCUACGGGAGGCAGCAGUGAGGAAUAUUGGUCAAUGGGCGCAAGCCUGAACCAGCCAAGUAGCGUGCAGGAAGACGGCCCUAUGGGUUGUAAACUGCUUUUAUACGAGAAUAAUUUGAUGCACGUGUGCGUUAUUGCAUGUAUCGUAUGAAUAAGGACCGGCUAAUUCCGUGCCAGCAGCCGCGGUAAUACGGAAGGUCCAGGCGUUAUCCGGAUUUAUUGGGUUUAAAGGGAGUGUAGGCGGUUUGUUAAGCGUGUUGUGAAAUUUAGGUGCUCAACAUUUAACUUGCAGCGCGAACUGUCAGACUUGAGUACACGCAACGUAUGCGGAAUUCAUGGUGUAGCGGUGAAAUGCUUAGAUAUCAUGAAGAACUCCGAUUGCGAAGGCAGCAUACGGGAGUGUAACUGACGCUUAAGCUCGAAGGUGCGGGUAUCGAACAGGAUUAGAUACCCUGGUAGUCCGCACAGUAAACGAUGGAUGCCCGCUGUUAGCGCCUGGCGUUAGCGGCUAAGCGAAAGCAUUAAGCAUCCCACCUGGGGAGUACGCCGGCAACGGUGAAACUCAAAGGAAUUGACGGGGGCCCGCACAA
rnacentral:rRNA from 1 species